rnacentral:rRNA from 1 species
AUUGAACGCUGGCGGCAGGCCUAACACAUGCAAGUCGAACGAGUGGAGGACGGGUGAGUAAUGUCUGAGAAACUGCCCGAUGGAGGGGGAUAACUACUGGAAACGGUAGCUAAUCACGCAUAACAUCGGAUGUGACCAGAUGGGAGUAGCUAGUAGGUGGGGUACCGGCUCACCUAGGCGACGAUCCCUAGCUGGUCUGCGAGGAUGACCAGUCACACUGGAACUGUGACACGGUUCAGACGCCUACGGUAGGCAGCAGUGGGGAAUAGUGCACAAUGGGCGCACGCCGGAGGCAGCAAUGCCGCGUGUAUGAAGAAGGCCUUCGGGUUGUAAAGUACUUUCAGCGAGGAGGCGUUACUCGCAGAGCAAGCAUCGGCUAACUCCGUGCCAGCCGCCGCGGUAAUAC